AUCCCCUCCCUUCCCUGAUUAGCGACUGCCCUUUGGAACUCAGGGAAGGUCUUGGAGGCUGAGGCUUAUUCCCUAAAAACAAGAAAUGGAGGAUGAGUGCCUAGGAGCCCCACAGGGCUCGCUUACAGUAUGGCUGAAGGAUGGGAGGCGUGGACACGUGAGGAAGGAGGUGGAAGACCUAAGCUGUGCCCAAAUUCACCUUCGGUGACGCAACCUUUAACUUCAGAGCUGCUUCUUGGAACACAGAGGUAUGUAUGUAUGUAUUUUUACAAACCCAAAAUGUUAAGGUUUUCUUUUUUUCUUUGUCUUUUGUUGUCUUUUUAGGGCUACACUUGCGGCAUAUGGAGAUUCCCAGUCUAAGGGUCAAAUCGGAGCUGUAGCGGCCGGCCUACACCUCAGCCCCAGCAACACCAGAUCCGAGCCGCAUCUGUGACCUACACCACAGCUCACGGCAAUGUCGGAUCCUGAACCCCCGGAGCGAGGCCAGGGAUUGAACCCGAGUCCUCAUGGAUCCUAGCUGGCUUUGUUCUGCUGAGCCACGACGGGAACGCCAAGACUUUUUAGAUUCUAGAAAAAGGUAUUGAAUGACUCGAAGGCUGCCCCUUGGGGGACAGUUUUCUCCCCUCCCCAUUCUCCUAUCAGCCCAUAAAACAUCCUCUCAGAAGAAACAUUUUGACUCUCUUGGUCCCCUGUUCCUGGUUCCUCACUGUGAGAAGAGGCGGGACCUCUGAGCUUGGCGGGGUUGAGAAAAGGUGUCAGGUGUGCUUUGCUCAGCCUGUUCUUGGCUCUCUCUUUGGGACUGAUCGAACUACAAGCAACAUGUGCCUCCUCCCCUGCUCGGAAGGCCUUCAAUAGUCCAGCUGCUCUGCGGUGAGUGGGUGGGUAAGGUCAAAUCAGGAGAGAAGGAAAGGAAGCCCAUUUGGGCCUUGGGUCGCAGCCACAUCCUCCAGCCCAUCUGGACCAGCAAAAAAGAUGACAUGUUAAUCCCUCCGUGUCUCCUGUGACUCUGUCUCAAUUAGAUCAGAUUUUGGAGAAGAGAGGGGUAUGAUUAACUAGCACCCACAAACCCCAACAUCUGUUGAAGUCUUAGCCCCAGUGGGAAAAGGCACAGUUAGAUGAAAACGAUGGCUUAAGUUUGUGAUUAUUAUUAGCCAGCACUUCUCUGUGCUUCACUGGUUACAUGUCUUUUCAUCGCGUUACGAAUUAUUGCUUUUUUUAAGGUACGAGUCUGGAUGGGAAUUGAUAAGGCUCUUCUGGGCUUGGCUGCCCCUAACUUGCUCUGUGGCUUGACUUUCCUGGGCUUCAGUUUUAUCAGUUAUGAAAUGAGUGGAUUAGACUAGAUGAUGGAAAGGAGCCAACCCAAGGUCUGAUGUUCUUGCAUUCACUCAACACACGUUUAUUAUUGCGUAUCUAGAAUGUGUUGGCUACCGUGCUGGAGGCUGGUUAUAUAAUGCUGUGCAAAACAAACACGGCCCCAUCAUCUUGGAGUUCAGAGUCUAGGAGGAGAGAGAGAGAGAUAUCAAAUAAACAUCUUUAUAAAUGCACAAUGACAAGUUCAAUACAAUGUUAAUCUAUGAGCAAUUGGAUUGUAUAGAACAUUCCUACUAGUUCUUUUUUUUUUUUUUUUUUUUUUUUUUUUUUUUUUUUUUUUUUUUUUUGUUGCUUUUUNNNNNNNNNNNNNNNUCCAUUGGCUGGAGGGCAGCAAAAAAAAAAAAAAAAAAAAGAUGCUAUAAAUGGUUACGUGUGUGGUGGGCAUCCCCCAUGUCCUGAAUGAUCC
rnacentral:lncRNA from 1 species